AAACAUGAAUGCUUCCACCACUCUUUAAGAUCACCAGAAGCACAAAUAUUAUCCACACAAGUUUCAGAAUACAAACUGCCAAUCAAAUUCCAAACAAUUCUCGCAGAAAUUCCGCCCCCGCCAAAACGGUAGCUAACCGUUACCUCGGCGGCGGCGCCCGCAUCGCAUCGCCAUUUUCUAUAACCUCAAAACACCGCUGUGGUCCACAUCGCGGCGUUGACCAAGCACACCUCCUCUAUCUCCUCCCCAGCCUCCACUCCUACCCCCGUCCACAUCCGUACCCCCUCCACCACUUCUUCUCAUCCUCAUCCUCGCCACCAUAAGCUGAGGGUGAUCGAGGAGAAGGAGAGAGAGCGGCAAAGUGUGGGAUUGCGAUUAACGACAUUGGAGACAGGAUUUUGAAGUUUAGGCCGACAAGUCAUGAGAAAGCGAAGCCGGGCGGGGGAAUAGGGCAGGCAACAUCUGAUGCGAGGAAGUAAGAGUUUGCAUAGAAAUACUCUGCGGCACUAUAGAAAUGAAGAUGAAUUUAGCAGUUUUUCUGAGAAGAAGUUCUAACUUCUAGACCAAAGUAUACCUAAGAGAGCUAAUAAGCUGUCUAUUUAAUAACCGCCAGUUCUUAAGCUAUCAUGGCGUAAUGAUCUUCUUCAUCUGUUGAACAAUAUUUUCAAUCCUCACAAUAUCUAAUCUGCUGAGAAACUAAAGUUGGAGCUCGUCCGAUGGAGUCAACCCAUAUUUAAAGAGGCUAUUUGUCAUAGAGUGUGCAGAGCCACAUGUCAACUUUGGGACUCUUGGAUGGUGGAUGCAUCAAUGGUGCCGGGUUUUUGGCUGACUUGACUGACAGAGAUUUAUCACGUGAUCUUCGUUCCUUUGCUGUGGUGGCGCAGCGCACCACAAAGAUUAAGCAUCUAUCACCUUUUGUGCAUAAAAAGGUUAGUGUAUCUAUAUACACGAUGAUCAUACUUUUCUCAUGAAUCUGAAAAUAAAUAUUGUCUGUAUAAACUUGGACAUAUUUGACUAUGUUAUUUUGUAAGAUAAACAUUCUCAGAAAGGCCUCCAAGCCAUGGUUCAAACGCAGGAAGACGCUGUUCGAAUAUUUCGGAUGGAAUGACUGGGGUUCGUACUGCAUCAUUUCUGAAAGCUUGCUCUCGGUGACAACCCAAACUUCAAAGCCUAGGCAAGUCCUGUAACAUUCCCCUGGAAAUACAAAUUUUUUCGAGUCAAAAUUUUUUGCAGUGAAUUAGCGUUGUCUUUGGAACCUGAGCUUUUUAUAGUAUCUAUGUCGAGAUUAUUACAUGAGAGAGCAGGAAAUUGGAGCAGGUUUAGCUCCAAAUUUUAGGCAUCAAAUAAUGUAAAUUAUAUUUCUAGUUAUGCUCUUGAUAAAAUGUGGUGCUCCAGUUAUGUUGGACUAGUAAUGAAUUGGUGCAAGUUAGAUUAUUUUUUGUUGAUAAUUUCUGAUGUUCAUAUGACUAGUUAAUUGUCC